CAUGUAGUUGUCAUAGGACAUCGCCGUGAGGAAGGCCAGGUCCGCAGUACCAAAUAUCAUGAAGGAAAACACUUGGGAAGUGCAGCCCAGACAAGAGAUGGAUUGAAGAUUGCUCAAGGCAUUGAGGAUAGAUUUGGGGACACUGACAGAGAUGAGGCAGAGGUUGAGGACAGACAGGGGCCUGAGGAAGAAAUAGAGGAAGAGGUACCAGGUAGAGGCAAUGAUGAGAUCACUCAAGACCUCUUCUGAAGGAUUCAAAGAUAAUAAUACCAAGGUAGUUAUCCAAGUUUUCCAAAAAUUACACAGCCAAACCAGAUAUUCUUCCUGGCACCAUGGACACCACAGUCUCCAAUGUGUUGGUGGGAAGACUCUAACAAUUGGCCCUCAGGGUUAUGGCCAUGAGGCUUAGUCUUCUGUGGACCAUCCUAUUCUCCCAGCUCCACGGUGUCCAAUGCAGGAUGGUCAACCAUCCCUGCACCUUGGAAAGAAAUCAUUCCAGUGGCUACUACCAGGACAGAGAGGUGGUGAUCGGAGGACUCCUCUCUGGAUGUGAUUCUGAGUCACCUUGGUUCCCUUGAGAACUUCACACAACAGCCACUCUUCUUUCUCGAGCCCACAGAAUACUUCACCAAACACUAUCAGGAUCUCAUGGCCCUGGUGUUUGCUCUGGAGGAGAUCAACAAGGACCCCAUCCUGUUACCCAGUAUUUCUCUGGGCUUCCACCUCUUUAAUGUCCACUUCCUGGGGCCGAUGGCGGCCAAGACCUCCAUGGCUCUGCUCCUGGGGAGAUUCGGGUUGGUUCCCAACUACAGCUGUGAGCCGGAGCAGUGGGACAAACUGCUGGCUGUCAUAGGAGGGAUGUCAUCAACAGUCUCCACAACAGGCUCUUGGCUUCUGGGACUCCAUAAGCUCCCCCAGGUGAGGAAUCCUGAUGACAAGGGGCAGAUAAGACUUAGUUUGCUGUUAUUCUCACUGUUGUUGUUUGAUUUCAUUUGUUAAGCACUUUCCAUGUUCCAGCCACUGCACUAAGCAAUAUCCCAUGUACAUUCCAAGGCCAGAAAAUUCCCUUAAGGAGUUAAAGUCAAUGAAAUGGAUUGGCAUCUUUGCCCAGAACGGUGUAGGCCGACUCCCUGUAGACUGUAAGCCCCUUGUGAGCAGGAUCCUGUCUCCCAGUUCUGUUGUACUCCCCCAAGAGUGUUGUACAGGGCUCUACACCUUGUAAGUGUUCAGUAAAUACAAUGGAUUGAUAGAUCGAUUUGGGAACAUGGAACGAUGAUGUCUGUCUGUAUGUCCAUUCCAGAAUCCCCUGUUCCCUGGCUCUGUCUCUUCCGUAGAUCCCCUAUGGCUUAGAGGACCCCGCUCUCAGAGAAAAGGCCCGGUUCUCAUCUCUCUAUCAGAUCUCUGCAAGUUCCUCAGAUCUGCCCUCAGGGAUGAUCCGUCUCAUGAAACAUUUUCACUGGGUCUGGAUUGGCCUCCUGGUCACCAAUGACAUUCUAGGGGAGGCGUUUGCUAUGGUCCUAACAGGGGAGAUGGCCAAGAAUGGCAUCUGUGUGGCUUAUGUUAAAAGAGUCGACAAAUUAUUUACUGACAGUACUCUCCAGACUGUGUGACCACAGACAAAUUAAUACAUGGUCAGCGAAUGUGGUCGCUGUCUAUGGGGAUACAUUCUCUAUACUGACAAUUGUAUAUUGCAUGGACCAAAGUCCCAUUCUCAGAAAAGUCUGGGUCACCACAUCAGAUUAGGAUUUGAUAACCAAUGCCCUUAUCAUAAAUAACACCUUUUUCCAAGGCUCCUUGUCAUUUUCAGUCCACAGGAAGGCGAUUCCAGGUUUCAGGGAUUUUGAACAGACCCUGAACCCUAGGAAAUAUCCACAGGAUGUGUUUCUAUGGUCUAUCUGACUGUGGGCCUUCGAUUGUCUGUAUACACUUAGACCUGAUGCCCUGGGACUGUGUGAGGAAAACAGUACAUUGGAGAAUAGGUCCUUGGACCUCUGGGACAUGAACCUAUCUCCCCAGAGUUACAAUGUGCACAGUGCUGUGUAUGCCAUAGCUCACGCCCUCCACCAAGAGAUCUGAGCUGGGAAGGACAUGGAGACAUCGGGAGAUGGACCAAGUUGGGUCCCUCAUCCAUGGCAGGUAAUUCCUCCCUCCAUCCACUAGGCCACGCUGCUUUUUUGGUGACUUCAGUCACUGAUGUCUCCCUCUCCAUCCAGCUCUACUUGUCCCUGAGGAACACUGGGAUCCACACCAGUGUCAGUGAGCCCGUCCAUUUGGAUGACCACAGUUGGGCGACCAGUAGGAUUGACAUCCUGAAAUAUCAGAUUUUACAGAACGGCA